UUUUAUGGAGAGUUUGAUCCUGGCUCAGAGUGAACGCUGGCGGCGUGCCUAAUACAUGCAAGUCGAACGAUGAAAUUUCUAGCUUGCUAGAAGUGGAUUAGUGGCGCACGGGUGAGUAACGCAUAGGUUAUGUGCCUCUUAGUUUGGGAUAGCCAUUGGAAACGAUGAUUAAUACCAGAUACUCCCUACGGGGGAAAGAUUUAUCGCUAAGAGAUCAGCCUAUGUCCUAUCAGCUUGUUGGUAAGGUAAUGGCUUACCAAGGCUAUGACGGGUAUCCGGCCUGAGAGGGUGAACGGACACACUGGAACUGAGACACGGUCCAGACUCCUACGGGAGGCAGCAGUAGGGAAUAUUGCUCAAUGGGGGAAACCCUGAAGCAGCAACGCCGCGUGGAGGAUGAAGGUUUUAGGAUUGUAAACUCCUUUUGUUAGAGAAGAUAAUGACGGUAUCUGACGAAUAAGCACCGGCUAACUCCGUGCCAGCAGCCGCGGUAAUACGGAGGGUGCAAGCGUUACUCGGAAUCACUGGGCGUAAAGAGCGCGUAGGCGGGAUAGUCAGUCAGGUGUGAAAUCCUAUGGCUUAACCAUAGAACUGCAUUUGAAACUACUAUUCUAGAGUGUGGGAGAGGUAGGUGGAAUUCUUGGUGUAGGGGUAAAAUCCGUAGAGAUCAAGAGGAAUACUCAUUGCGAAGGCGACCUGCUGGAACAUUACUGACGCUGAUUGCGCGAAAGCGUGGGGAGCAAACAGGAUUAGAUACCCUGGUAGUCCACGCCCUAAACGAUGGAUGCUAGUUGUUGGAGGGCUUAGUCUCUCCAGUAAUGCAGCUAACGCAUUAAGCAUCCCGCCUGGGGAGUACGGUCGCAAGAUUAAAACUCAAAGGAAUAGACGGGGACCCGCACAAGCGGUGGAGCAUGUGGUUUAAUUCGAAGAUACACGAAGAACCUUACCUAGGCUUGACAUUGAGAGAAUCCGCUAGAAAUAGUGGAGUGUCUAGCUUGCUAGACCUUGAAAACAGGUGCUGCACGGCUGUCGUCAGCUCGUGUCGUGAGAUGUUGGGUUAAGUCCCGCAACGAGCGCAACCCCCUUUCUUAGUUGCUAACAGGUUAUGCUGAGAACUCUAAGGAUACUGCCUCCGUAAGGAGGAGGAAGGUGGGGACGACGUCAAGUCAUCAUGGCCCUUACGCCUAGGGCUACACACGUGCUACAAUGGGGUGCACAAAGAGAAGCAAUACUGCGAAGUGGAGUCAAUCUUCAAAACACCUCUCAGUUCGGAUUGUAGGCUGCAACUCGCCUGCAUGAAGCUGGAAUCGCUAGUAAUCGCAAAUCAGCCAUGUUGCGGUGAAUACGUUCCCGGGUCUUGUACUCACCGCCCGUCACACCAUGGGAGUUGUGUUUGCCUUAAGUCAGGAUGCUAAACUAGCUACUGCCCACGGCACACACAGCGACUGGGGUGAAGUCGUAACAAGGUAACCGUAGGUGAACCUGCGGUUGGAUCACCUCCUUUCUA
rnacentral:rRNA from 1 species